CACGUAUGUAACUGUGGUAGAAUGUAACAUCAUGUAUGUAAUUGUGGUAGAAUAUAACAUCAUGUAUGUAAUUGUGGUAGAAUAUAACAUCAUGUAUGUAACUGUGGUAGAAUGUAACAUAAUGUAUGUAACUGUGGUAGUAUGUAACAUCACAUCACGUAUGUAACUGUGGUAGAAUGUAACAUCAUGUAUGUAACUGUGGUAGUAUGUAACAUCAAUUCACGUAUGUAACUGUCGUAGUAUGUAACAUCACAUCAUGUAUGUAACUGUCGUAGUAUGUAACAUCACAUCAUGUAUGUAACAUCACAUCAUGUAUGUAACUGUAGUAGUAUGUAACAUCACAUCAUGUAUGUAACUGUAGUAGUAUGUAACAUCACAUCAUGUAUGUAACAUCACAUCAUGUAUGUAACUGUAGUAGUAUGUAACAUCACAUCAUGUAUGUAACUGUAGUAGUAUGUAACAUCACAUCAUGUAUGGAACUGUAGUAGUAUGUAACAUCACAUCAUGU
rnacentral:lncRNA from 13 species